rnacentral:lncRNA from 10 species
GAAUGGCGUUUAUUGCGUCGCUGCUCAGGCAACGCAAACUACAUUAUCCAGAAGGACCCUCGCGGUGCCUCAGGGCUGGCCAUUGGCAGCCGAGGAGACAGGCACUUCCGGGCGGAGUGUAAGACGCUGGCCAAUCACAGCCUGGCAGCGGGACUUCCGUCGUCGUCCUCGGACCAUCACUUUGGCAUUUCUCGAUUUUGUCUGCUUCUGAAGGGACCGCGUUGUCAGGCGAGGGACGGAAUCUUGGAGGCUCCCUGGGCCCAUGGAAACAGGAGCGAGGAAGGCACGAGAGUCGGGGAAGUUCCGCCUUCUUGACAUACAAGCGCCCCCACCGCGGCGAAUAUCGCCCCUGAGCCCAGUGUUCGCCCCCCACAACACCGCACCCCCCUUCCCCACCCUGUGCCUUAGAUAAAGCCGGCCCAGUGGGACCCUCAGGUUGCACCGCGCGGAGGUGUCCGCGGCUCUCGGGAGUCGUCGCCCUUGGCGUUAUGUUGGCUUUAGGGAGCGCGAGGCCGAGGCCAAGAAAAGCUACGCAUUGGGAGGUCUUGACCCAGUGUGCGCCCGGCUGUAGGCAUGGAACGUGCGCCAAAGGUCUCCUGGCACCCACUCCGCUGGACUCAGCACCAUUGUCCUAAGUCUCCGAUUGAGAAGUAUCUGCCCCAGGUCCUCUGCGGGCCCCACUGAACAGUGUGGAGCGUUCACAGGUUGGGGGUCACCAUUUCAGAAUCCAGUUUGUUGAGACGUGGAGGGUACAGGAGGAGGGAUCUGCAUAUGCGAAGACUUGGACUUGACCCUGACCUGAGCGUUCAGGCAGGCUCUCAUGCCCCCUUGGCAGCGAGUGGAGAGCGUAAGAGGAGUCCUGCCUCUCCUGGCACACCGAGGGCGCCUGGGAGCCAUGAAAGGUGUUGAACAGAAAAGGGAUGGACAUGACCUGAGUUAGAAUUUGGAAAGUAUUUCAGUGGUUGCUGAAUGAACACACUACUGGAGAAGGUGGUUGUAGUGGGGCUGGAAGCAGGGAGACUGUGGGGGAGGUUAUUGCAGUAUUGUUCCAGACAGUUAUGAUAGUGGCCUGUCCAGAACGGAAGCAAGAAGGAUGGGAGAAGUGAUCAGAUUCCCAGUGGAUCUUCAAGAUAGAGCUAAUGGAAUUUUUUGCUACCUUAGAUAAGUGGAAUAAGCAUGAGUAGGGGUGAAGGACCAUCCCAAGUAGUUAGGAAGAAUUAGGAUGCCUCCUGUGGAGAAUAGAGGUUGGCAGUUGGCAGGAGGAGGAUGUUUCAUGGAAGAUUAGCGAUGGAUUUUGUAGGUAUAGAGUCUGAAUUGUCUGGAGACCUGUGAGUGGAGGUGUCAAAUGGGCCUCUGGAUAUAUAGAAUUCUGGUGUGGCUUCAGGACGUCCAGACUGCAUUAUGUUGGUGGCCUGGCCCAGUGAACGGCCUGAGGAUAGGAUUUGGGAAGGAGGGUUUUAGGUUGGAGGACCAGUGGCUAGGGCUCACGCUCAGUGCUUAGAUCACAUCUGUCUGCCCAUUGGCUUGGUGUUGCAGGGCUUAAUGACCUUUGAGGACAGGGUCAGUACAUCUUCCAAGAAUGUGGGGCUCCUUAGUGAGGUCCAAGGGGGCUUCUACAGUGACAUGAUACUACAGAGCUUUGUACUCCAGUGCCCACUAGGUAAGGCUACUGUGUCUCCUCUUUCCCCUACACAUGAAAUCUAGGUUUUCCUCCGCCUUUCCAUUGUUCCCUCUGGGAGGUGCUGCUGGCCCUGGCACUGGCCAGUGUCCUGCUGUGUCCGGAAUUGUUUCCUUCCUCUGGGUUCUUGGUCUCGCUGACUUCAAGAAUAAAGCCGCGG